ensembl:lncRNA
AAUUACGUUUUCUGUUUUGACAUGUUUCAGGUCGAGCUGGAGGGUUGGGUGCAACUGUGGGAAAAUUCCAACGGUAUCCCACCAGCUGACCUCUCCUGGUUGAAGGACGACACCGAGCGAGGACUCUUUGGCCCCAUUCAGGUGUAUCGUGACAACACCGGUGUACUGAAGAGGAGUAGAGUACUAAAAUCUGACCGGAUGUGGUUUUACCCUCCAGAACCUCCAGGCUACAUUAGUGGUCCUCUGCCAACUCCACAUCUCUUUUUUCGAAGUCGCGUCUUUGUGUGGCAGCCUGUUGGAGUAUGGAAAUACUUACUGAAGUGUCCUCGGGAUGCAGAAUGUGUGGGUCAAGGAAAGGCUGUGUACCUCUACAAGUCGGGCUACCACACCAGGGUAUUUUAUAUUUUUAAUUAAAUUUGUUAAUAGUAAGUUUCCUUGCAACAUAACAAUCUAAUGAUUUGUUUUUAUGCAAACACACCUGCAGAUUAAAUCAAACAAUGCACUGCUGCUUUUAGAUACCAUAUUAAACUUUUUUGUUUUUUAAUAUUGCAGGUUUGUCAUAUUUGUGAUGUAUCCAGCUGGUAUUGUAUGCUGACGGAGGUCCUGUGCUGUGGCCAUUGCAGCAAAGCAGGUCGUGGCAGUGGCAACGUGGGGCAUUGGUUGGCAUGGGAUCCUGCUAUCCUGUGCCAACUCAGUGAGGCUCACCAAGCCAUGUUCCCUGCUGUCCUCACAGACACGUGAGUACACUGAACAUUGGUGUAAAACUAACAUGCCUUGAUUUAGUUGCAUUAGCCACCAUCGUACGGUGGCCGAGAGAGCUCAAUGUGCUGCAAAAAAAAAAAAAAAAACACAAUUAAGAAAACAUCUUCAUCAAAUUGACAAUACGUGCUGCAAAUACUCAAAACAAUACAAAAUACAGAAAUGCGCUUCAAAUACUGACAAUGCGACAAAAUACAGAAACACACUGCAAAUUUUUUUUGUAAAUACAAAACAAUUAAAUACAGAAACAAGCUGCAAAUACUCACGACCCAACCAGACACAGAGACACGCAGCAAAUACUCACGACACAACGAAACACAGAGACACGCAGCAAAUACUCACGACACAACCAGACACAGAGACACGCUGCAAAUACUCACGACACAACCAGACACAGAGACACGCAGCAAAUACUCACGACACAACCAAACACAGAGACACAGAGACACGCAGCAAAUACUCACGACACAACCAAACACAGAGACACGCUGCAAAUACUCACGACACAACCAGACACAGAGACACGCUGCAAAUACUCACGACACAACCAAACACAGAGACACGCUGCAAAUACUCACGACACAACCAAACACAGAGACACGCUGCAAAUACUCACGACACAACCAAACACAGAAACACGCUGCAAAUACUCACGACACAACCAAACACAGAGACACGCUGCAAAUACUCACGACACAACCAAACACAGAGACACGCUGCAAAUACUCACGACACAACCAAACACAGAGACACAGAGACACACGCAGCAAAUACUCACGACACAACCAAACACAGACACGCUACAAAUACUCACGACACAGACAAACACACAGACACGCUGCAAAUACUCACGACACAACCAAACACAGAGACACGCUGCAAAUACUCACGACACAACCAAACACAGACACGCUGCAAAUACUCACGACACAACCAAACACUGAGACAUGCUGCAAAUACUCACGACACAACCAAACACAGAGACACGCUGCAAAUACUCACGACACAGACAAAAACAUGCUGCAAAAACUCAAGACACAAAUAAACACAGAAAUGUGCUGCAAAUACUUACGACACAACCAAAUACAGAAAAUGCUGCAAAUACUCACAAUACAACCAAAUACAUAAACACGCUGCAAAUACUUGCGACACAACCAAACACAGAGACAUGUUGCAAAUAUGCACAACACGAACAAAUAUAGAAAUACUGCAAAUACUCACAGACCACAUCGUAAAUGUUUAAGGGAACUGCAACAAGUGAUGAACCUGGG